rnacentral:rRNA from 1 species
AUGUUAGCGGCGGACGGGUGAGUAACACGUGGGUAACCUGCCUGUAAGACUGGGAUAACUCCGGGAAACCGGGGCUAAUACCGGAUGGUUGUUUGAACCGCAUGGUUCAAACAUAAAAGGUGGCUUCGGCUACCACUUACAGAUGGACCCGCGGCGCAUUAGCUAGUUGGUGAGGUAACGGCUCACCAAGGCAACGAUGCGUAGCCGACCUGAGAGGGUGAUCGGCCACACUGGGACUGAGACACGGCCCAGACUCCUACGGGAGGCAGCAGUAGGGAAUCUUCCGCAAUGGACGAAAGUCUGACGGAGCAACGCCGCGUGAGUGAUGAAGGUUUUCGGAUCGUAAAGCUCUGUUGUUAGGGAAGAACAAGUACCGUUCGAAUAGGGCGGUACCUUGACGGUACCUAACCAGAAAGCCACGGCUAACUACGUGCCAGCAGCCGCGGUAAUACGUAGGUGGCAAGCGUUGUCCGGAAUUAUUGGGCGUAAAGGGCUCGCAGGCGGUUUCUUAAGUCUGAUGUGAAAGCCCCCGGCUCAACCGGGGAGGGUCAUUGGAAACUGGGGAACUUGAGUGCAGAAGAGGAGAGUGGAAUUCCACGUGUAGCGGUGAAAUGCGUAGA